GACGAACGCUGGCGGCGUGCUUAACACAUGCAAGUCGAACGGAAAGGCCCUGCUUUUGUGGGGUGCUCGAGUGGCGAACGGGUGAGUAACACGUGAGUAACCUGCCCUUGACUUUGGGAUAACUUCAGGAAACUGGGGCUAAUACCGGAUAGGAGCUCCUGCUGCAUGGUGGGGGUUGGAAAGUUUCGGCGGUUGGGGAUGGACUCGCGGCUUAUCAGCUUGUUGGUGGGGUAGUGGCUUACCAAGGCUUUGACGGGUAGCCGGCCUGAGAGGGUGACCGGCCCCCUUGGGACUGGGGUACGGCCCGGACUCCUACGGGAGGCAGCAGUGGGGAAUAUUGCACAAUGGGCGGAAGCCUGAUGCAGCAACGCCGCGUGCGGGAUGACGGCCUUCGGGUUGUAAACCGCUUUCGCCUGUGACGAAGCGUGAGUGACGGUAAUGGGUAAAGAAGCACCGGCUAACUACGUG
rnacentral:rRNA from 1 species